CAAACUGAAUAUAAACACUUGUGUAGAACUGCAGGAUGCUGUUGAGGAGGUGCUCCCCGCGCUGAGAGAGCAGGGCGUCUCGGUCUAUAUACUGACUGACCAUGUGACCUCCGAGGGAACGAAAAGUCUUACAGACAAGAUCAAGCAGGCCUCAGAUGAGCCUGUUCCUGCAGACCUGAGGGCAAACAAACACUAACUUCAACAGCCCAUCGGCGUACAUCUACACGUCAGGCACCACGGGUCCUCCAAAGGCAGCGGUGAUCACUCAUCGGAGGCUGUGGGCCACUGCCUACCUCCCCUCGUAUGCCAGACCACGUUUCAUAAGGAUCCAGAAGAGUUUGGCUGUAACCUGCACCUUCAAACAGCUCAAAGGGAAGUUGUCAGAGGAGGGCUUCAACCCUGCUGCAAUCUCAGAUCCUCUGUUUGUUUUAGAUGAGAAGGUGAACAGCUACAGACCGCUGACUCAUGACACAUAUCAGUCCAUAUUGGAGGGUCACUUCAGAUUGUGAAGAGCAGGAUUUGCUCUUUAUAAUAUGUUCUACAUUUAAUAAGAGAAGUCAAAUCUUUUAUUUGUUCUGAUUCCUAAAUCUACAUUUACACUUACAGGACUGCAACUGUCCAGAGAUCACA